rnacentral:rRNA from 1 species
AUUGAACGCUGGCGGAAUGCUUUACACAUGCAAGUCGAGCGGCAGCGCGGGGCAACCUGGCGGCGAGCGGCGAACGGGUGAGUAACAUAUCGGAACGUACCCAUUGGUGGGGGAUAACACAUCGAAAGAUGUGCUAAUACCGCAUACGACCUGAGGGUGAAAGGGGGGGAUCGCAAGACCUCUCGCCGUUGGAGCGGCCGAUAUCGGAUUAGCUAGUUGGUGGGGUAAAGGCUCACCAAGGCGACGAUCCGUAGCUGGUCUGAGAGGACGACCAGCCACACUGGGACUGAGACACGGCCCAGACUCCUACGGGAGGCAGCAGUGGGGAAUUUUGGACAAUGGGGGCAACCCUGAUCCAGCCAUUCCGCGUGAGUGGAGAAGGCCCUCGGGUUGUAAAGCUCUUUCAGCAGGAACGAAACGGUGUGGGUUAAUACCCUGCAUCAAUGACGGUACCUGAAGAAGAAGCACCGGCUAACUACGUGCCAGCAGCCGCCGUAA